GUUUUAUUGUAAGAAUGAAAUAGUCGUAGAGAAAAUAUUAUUCAGUUUUUCUGGAGAAGUUUUUAGUUUUUACCAACUCGUCAUAUAGCCUUAAAUCUAUCGUUUGACAGGCCAAAUAUUUUACACUUAUGUUGUUUAAGGUGGUAGGGGUGUCUUCCUCCAUCUUGGAUUGUAAAAAACAGAGAAUCAAAGGUCCAGAUUUUCCAUCAAGUUAUCAAAAUUCAGGAAUGCAGAUGUUUAAUGUACAUUUUCAUUUAAAAGUACCAAUUUAUAAGAAUAUAACUUCUAAAUAUUGAUAUUUUUGCAAAUGUUAAUUAUUUUUGGUUGUUUUAAUUUUUUUUUUUUUUUAAAUUGGCAUUUUAAGGGGAGGUAACUCUAAAAAAGUGCAUUUUCUGAAGGAUUCUGUAUGGAAUUUUCCUAUUUUGUAUUUUAGCCGGAAAAAACGUACGGUGACCCUAUCUUUUCUUUUGAUAUUCUCAAAGCAGAGUCUGAAAGCUAUCUUUUCCUGAAGUAUUUAACAAUUCUAUCAUUUUGUUUAGUUUCUAAUCACAAAAUGGUGUUUUUUCCUGUAUAAUCCAUACAAAAUGUGUCAUUAUGUCCCGUCCUGUAGCUUGAGAAAAUGCGCGGUGACCUAUCAUUUUUAUUAUAUUUUUCAACAUGUAUCAAUAGAUACAACGUUUUGGCAAAGUAUGAACAAAUUCUAUCAUUUUUAUUUUAGACUCCCAUACCACCUUAAAAUGAAUGAAUGUUAACAUUUAAGGUCAUCAAAACAAAAUAAUUAACCAC
rnacentral:lncRNA from 1 species